GUCCUAGUGGUGAUCUCCAACAACUGUGAUGUUUCUUAGAAUGGUCUAAAGAAAACAGAAUGCAAGCCAGAAAACGGCGUCGGGAAGAGCAGUAACCACAUGUGAGAGGAGGCCGUUUGGAUCACAGUGCAAAUAUUGCAGGGAGACCAGCUACUAUUUGGAGGGGGAGAUGACAUGAAGACCAACAGUGGGACAGAGAAGACUAAGAAAAAAAAACUCCUCCCUAUCCAAGAAAUUGAAGAAGCAGCUUUACUGCAUGACAUCAUAACAGCAGCCAAAUGGUCCAGAACACCAGCGUUUCCAGGAAGAUGGUCCCUGCCUGAUGUUAUAGAGAUGGUAGAGCGGAACACUGAAAGAACUCCAAAGCUGUGACUUCAUGAGUGAAGGGAAGAGAAUCAUGGAGCUGAGGGAAUGCUUUCAUGUUCUCCUUUCAGUUGAAAAGUGACUGAAACAUUUUUAGUGCAGAAAUGAUGGAUGUGAGGAAUUUAAAAGUGUAUAUGUGUUUUGAGGAGCAAUAAAAAGAGUUUUGGCUGUUUGUUUCUUGAAAAAAA